AUGCUUACCUGGCAGAGGAGACUGAUCAAGAAGGGUUUUCCCAGGUUGAGGUUCAUGCAUUGCUCUUAAUGUGCAUUAACCCUUGUGUUUUCCCCAAAGGCAAAUUAGUUUAUAUAACUUGCAGUGGUGGGAGACUGCAUCUACUCUUUCCCC
rnacentral:snRNA from 11 species